rnacentral:rRNA from 1 species
GAUGAACGCUGGCGGCGUGCUUAACACAUGCAAGUCGAACGGAAAGGCCCAAGCUUGCUUGGGUACUCGAGUGGCGAACGGGUGAGUAACACGUGGGUGAUCUGCCCUGCACUUCGGGAUAAGCCUGGGAAACUGGGUCUAAUACUGGAUAGUACCACAUUUUGGAUGGUGUGGUGGAAAGUUUUUCGGUGUGGGAUGAGCUCGCGGCCUAUCAGCUUGUUGGUGGGGUAAUGGCCUACCAAGGCGUCGACGGGUAGCCGGCCUGAGAGGGUGUACGGCCACAUUGGGACUGAGGUACGGCCCAGACUCCUACGGGAGGCAGCAGUGGGGAAUAUUGCACAAUGGGCGCAAGCCUGAUGCAGCGACGCCGCGUGGGGGAUGACGGCCUUCGGGUUGUAAACUCCUUUCGCUAGGGACGAAGCGCAAGUGACGGUACCUGGAGAAGAAGCACCGGCUAACUACGUA